GACGAACGCUGGCGGCGUGCCUAAUACAUGCAAGUAGAACGCUGAAACUUGGUGCUUGCACCGAGCGGAUGAGUUGCGAACGGGUGAGUAACGCGUAGGUAACCUGCCUGGUAGCGGGGGAUAACUAUUGGAAACGAUAGCUAAUACCGCAUAAGAGUAGAUGUUGCAUGACAUUUGCUUAAAAGGUGCAAUUGCACCACUACCAGAUGGACCUGCGUUGUAUUAGCUAGUUGGUGGGGUAACGGCUCACCAAGGCGACGAUACAUAGCCGACCUGAGAGGGUGAUCGGCCACACUGGGACUGAGACACGGCCCAGACUCCUACGGGAGGCAGCAGUAGGGAAUCUUCGGCAAUGGACGGAAGUCUGACCGAGCAACGCCGCGUGAGUGAAGAAGGUUUUCGGAUCGGAAAGAUCUGUUGUAAGAGAAGAACGAGUGUGAGAGUGGAAAGUUCACACUGUGACGGUAUCUUACCAGAAAGGGACGGCUAACUACGUG
rnacentral:rRNA from 1 species